GCCGGUUUAGCUUAGUAGUAAAAGCGUUCGACUUGUAAUCGAAUGAGACGGGUUAGAAUCCUGUAAUCGGCA
rnacentral:tRNA from 1 species